AAAAUAAAUAUUUAUCUAAUUAAAUUGACUAUUAACUAAAGAAUAUAUACAAUAUAAAUAAUUACUGUAAAGGAAAGAACAAUUAUAUAAGUAGUUAAAUAC
rnacentral:rRNA from 1 species